GACGAACGCUGGCGGCGUGCCUAAUACAUGCAAGUCGAGCGAAGUUUUUCUGGUGCUUGCACCGGAAAAACUUAGCGGCGAACGGGUGAGUAACACGUAAAGAACCUGCCUCAUAGACUGGGACAACUAUUGGAAACGAUAGCUAAUACCGGAUAAUAGCAUUAACUGCAUGGUUGAUGUUUAAAAGUUGGUUUUGCUAACACUAUGAGAUGGCUUUGCGGUGCAUUAGCUAGUUGGUGGGGUAAAGGCCUACCAAGGCGACGAUGCAUAGCCGACCUGAGAGGGUGAUCGGCCACACUGGGACUGAGACACGGCCCAGACUCCUACGGGAGGCAGCAGUAGGGAAUCUUCCGCAAUGGGCGAAAGCAUGACGGAGCAACGCCGCGUGAGUGAAGAAGGAUUUCGGUUCGUAAAGCUCUGUUGUUAGGGAAGAAUGAUUGUGUAGUAACUAUACACAGUAGAGACGGUACCUAACCAGAAAGCCACGGCUAACUACGUG
rnacentral:rRNA from 1 species